rnacentral:pre_miRNA from 1 species
CUGUUGGGAAAUCUCUGUCUCUCAGUAGAGAUAAAUUAUUACAAAAAAUUGAUCCUAAAUAGUUUUCCUUUCAAAGUCAAACAUCUUGU